CUUUGGGUGUGACUGCGUACCUUUUGUAUAAUGGGUCAGCGACUUAUAUUCUGUAGCAAGGUUAACCGAAUAGGGGAGCCGGAGGGAAACCGAGUCUUAACCGGGCGUUAAGUUGCAGGGUAUAGACCCGAAACCCGGUGAUCUAGCCAUGGGCAGGUUGAAGGUUGGGUAACACUAACUGGAGGACCGAACCGACUAAUGUUGAAAAAUUAGCGGAUGACCUGUGGCUGGGGGUGAAAGGCCAAUCAAACCGGGAGAUAGCUGGUUCUCCCCGAAAGCUAUUUAGGUAGCGCCUCGUGAAUUCAUCUCCGGGGGUAGAGCACUGUUUCGGCUAGGGGGCCAUCCCGGCUUACCAACCCGAUGCAAACUGCGAAUACCGGAGAAUGUUAUCACGGGAGACACACGGCGGGUGCUAACGUCCGUCGUGAAGAGGGAAACAACCCAGACCGCCAGCUAAGGUCCCAAAGUCAUGGUUAAGUGGGAAACGAUGUGGGAAGGCCCAGACAGCCAGGAUGUUGGCUUAGAAGCAGCCAUCAUUUAAAGAAAGCGUAAUAGCUCACUGGUCGAGUCGGCCUGCGCGGAAGAUGUAACGGGGCUAAACCAUGCACCGAAGCUGCGGCAGCGACACUGUGUGUUGUUGGGUAGGGGAGCGUUCUGUAAGCCUGUGAAGGUGUGUCGUGA
rnacentral:rRNA from 1 species